UGAGACAGAGAAAAGUAAGAGAGAGCCAGGAAUCUAGCUCAGCCUGGUGCAGAACUUGUAGGAGACUAGCAAAGAGCCCACAGGCCAGAACCGGGCAAGAAGAGAGUAGUGAGAACCUGUCUCAGGUGUCCUGAUCCUAUUUUGGUGAAGUUGGUAUGCAGGUUCCCUAAUCUACCUGGGUUAGAGGAAGGUCGGAGGUUAUCUGGUGGCAAAUUAAAGCCCAAGUCAAAGUACCUGCAACUUCAAGAAUGUUAAUUGCAAUGAGCAGUGUAUUAAAAAAGAAGGGUACUUUGGAACCAUCAAGGUGGCCCUGAGAUUGUUGUGCUUGCUUGGACAUGAGAGAAUCACCUAGGAGCAAUGUUUCCUUACAAUAGAGUGGUAUUAGAGAAAUGGGCUGUCCAUGUAUUCUGUUCUUUCAAGACUGAUCCAUGUGGUACCAUGAAAGUGCUAGCAGAUGUUUUGGGAAGAAAAUGUGUAGUUCACAUCUGCCUAUACACCAUCUUCUGUAACCUCACUUUGACGAAAUGGGGUUGGAUUGUGGACACUGUCGUCUCUCAUUUAACAGUGAGUAUAUGUUCGCAAAGAGGUAUUCUUUCCUACUAUGACUACAAAAUUUGGGUAAUUAAUAUGCACUGCGUACUGGGAUGUACUGAUGAACAGUGGGACCUCAUUCCUACAUUCAGAGUUUAA
rnacentral:lncRNA from 1 species